UACGGGGGGGGCAAGCGUUGUUCGGGAUUACUGGGCGUAAAGGGUCUGUAGGUGGCUUGCUAAGUCAGACGUGAAAUCCCUCAGCUUAACUGGGGAACUGCGUCUGAGACUGAUGAGCUUGAGUGCAGGAGAGGAAUGCGGAAUUCCAGGUGUAGCGGUGAAAUGCGUAGAUAUCUGGAGGAACACCGGUGGCGAAGGCGGCAUUCUGGACUGCAACUGACACUGAGAGACGAAAGCCAGGGGAGCAAACGGG
rnacentral:rRNA from 1 species